AUGGGGGAUCUCGCCGCUGCCGCCGCGGUGGCCCUUGACGAUGGCGAGGUAGGAGGUGGCCAGGUUAUUAGUAUUGUUGAUCCCGACCAUGAGCUUGAAUGGGACAGCUUCAGGAAGGACUCCAACUUCAAGCAUGUCCCCAUGGUUGGCAAGGGCGGUGGAGAAUGCUCCCUAAUUGCCAAGGCCAAGUACACCAAGAAGAUGGACACCUACAACAACCCACUGGAAGGAGAGGCGUCUGACGACUCUGACAAGUCCCAGUUUGAGGUGAGCGACGCAAAGCAGCAGGAGGGGGAGGGGGUCUCUGAAAUGUCACCGCUUUCGCUCAUUGCUAGUGUCACCGAUUGA
rnacentral:rRNA from 1 species